rnacentral:lncRNA from 1 species
UUCGUGAAAUAACCAAAUAAUAAAACAACAUAGAUUAACUUUAACAAAUAAUGAAUCAGUUUUCAGCUCUAGAAAAUUUGUGUAAAAUAACAAAAUCAAAAGUAAAAAUCAGCUCAGUCUUCGAGAGUGAUUUAUUGAGCAUAUAGAGGGACACUCAGUAGAGAGCAUACCUCCGCCACGCAGCGUUGAUCAUGUUCGGCUCUCAAAAAAUACGAGAAUGUGUCCGUAUGUCCUUCGUUAUCAACGGAUACGGACCAUUUUUAGCAGGACAGUGAUGAAUAAUUUUGUACAUAUGUCCACAAAGUUUAAUCAAAAUCCGAUCAUUUUUGUCUGAGUUGUAGAACAAAAAUAGUGUGAAACAUCGGUCCCCAUGUUAACAGAUAGGGAUUUUGUUUCGUGACCUUGAUCUUUGCCCUUGAAAGAAUGAAUUUACUUAUAGAUUAAGCCUGGUGUUUCAAAAAAUAAACAGUAGAAUGUGUUUAAUUACAGAUCUAAAUCUGGUGGUGUUCAUGCAGUCUGUAAAAUGUGAUUGUUUCUUAAUAAACACUACUGGUCUAAGUCUGGAAUUGUUCAUAACGUCUGUAAAACGUGAUUCUUUAUCUGAAGCAACAAGAUGCUUUGUGUGUUUGUUAUAAAGCGUAAAGCUACACAGUGGGCUGUCUGUAUUGUGCCCACUCCAGGUAUCGAAACUCUGUUUUUAGCGUUAUAAGCCUUCAGACUUACCGCUGAACCACUGGAACAACACUAGGGUAUGUUUAGUUAGAACUUAUAACUCACUGACUCUCCACCAUUUACCAGUUCAGGACGAUUUUGUCCUACAACACAAAUUCUAAGUCACUGACCAUUCAUCGUGCACCAGGUCAAGUCUGCAUUCUUCUAGAAAUGCUUGCUAAGUUACUGACUCCUCACCAUGCCACAGUUAAGGUCUGGAUUGUCCCAGAAGAAUUGAUAAGUCACUGACCCUUACCCUGCACUAGGUCUUGUCCUAGAAACAAGUGCAAAGUACUGACUUUCCACUAUGCACAAGGUUAGAGCUGGAUGGUUCCAGAAAUAAGUACUAAGUAUCUGACUCCUCUCCAUGCACCAUGUCAACUCUGGAUUGUACCAGAAAGAAUUGUUAAGUUACUGAAUCUUCAGCAUGCAGCAGUUAGGUGUUGACUGACUCAGGAACACUUGCUAAGCCGUCAGCUUCCCAUCAUACAGUAGGUAAGGUCUGUAUCGUCCCAGAAACAAUUGCUCAGUCAGUGACCCCCCACCACCAUACACCAUAUUAGGUUUGGAUUGUCCUAGAAUUACUUCCUAAGCUACUGAUUCUCUAUCAUGUACCAGUUCAAGUAUGUACCAUCCAAGAAAUAAUUGCCAAGUAACUGACUCCCAGCAUGCACCUGGUCAGGUCUUGAUCGUAUGGAAAACACUUGCUAAACCAUUGACCCCACACUGUGCACCAGGUCAGAUCUGGAUAGUUCCACACACAACUGGUAAGUCACUGACUCUUCACCAUGCAGUGAGUCAGAUCUGGAUCAUCCCAGAAACAUCUUCUAAUUCACCAACUUCUCGCCAUGCACCAGGUCAGGACUGGAUUCUUCACCUUGCAGCAGGUCAGGUCUGUACUGUCCCAGAAACACAUGCUAUGUCUUUUACUCCACUCUAUCUACAGGGUCACGCCUGACUCAUUCUAGAAACAAAUGCCAAGUCACCGACUCUCCAUAGUUCAACACGAUAGGUCUGGAUUGGCCCUGAAAUACUUGCUAAGUCAUUGACUCUUCACAGUGCUUCAGGUCAGGUCUGGAUUGUUCUAGAAACACUUGCUAAGUCAUUAAUUCUCCAUCGUGCUCCAGUCCAGGUCUGAAGUGUCCCAGAAAUGUUUACUAACUCAGGGACUUUCCACGAUGCACCAGGAAAUGUCUGGAUCCAACCAGAAAUAUUUGGUAAGUCACUAACUCCUAACCAUGCAUCAGGUUAAGUUUGGCUCAUCCCAGAAACAUUGACUCCCCAGUAUGCACAAGGCCAGGUCUUGCUUAUUUCAGAAAUAUUUGCUAAAUCACUGUCCUCACAUUAUGCUCCAGGUUACGUUUGGAUUAUUUCAUAUACAAUUGCUAAGUCUCUAACUGUCUUCCGUGGGUCAGAUCAGGUUUGGAUUUUCGCACAAACUAUUUUCAAGUCACUGACUCUCCACCAUGUAUCAGAUCAGGGCUGGAUCAUACAAGAAACAAUUGCUACAUUGCGUACUCCUCACCUUGCGGCAAUGCAGGUCUGGAUUAUCCCAGACACAAUUGAUAAAUUACUGGCUCUUAACUACGCACCACAUUAGGUUUGGAUUGUUCAAAAAACUCUUAAAUACUUGCUAAGUUACUGAGUUCCCACCAUGGAGCAGAUUAGGUUUGGAUUUUCCAAGAAACAAGUGCUAAGUCAACGAUUCCCCACCAUAUACCACGUCAGAUCUGUAUUUUCCAGAAAUACUUGCUAAGUCAAUGAUUUCAACCAUACACCAGGAAAUAUAUGAAUCAUCCCAAAUAUAACUGCUAAGUCACUGACUUUCCAUCAUGCGGUAUAUCAGGUCUGGAUUGUACUGGAAUUACUUGAUAAGUCACUGACCCUCCACCGUGUACCAUGUCUGCAGUAAAUCAGGCCUAGAUUGUUCCAGAAACGUUUGCCUAUUCACCGACUCCCCUCUAUGCACGAAGUCAGGCCUGGACCAUCUCAGAAGCACUUACUAAGUCACUGAACUUCCAUCUAGCACCAUAUCAAAUCUGUAUUGUCCUAGAAAUAAGUACCAACUCACUGACUUUCCAAAAUGCAUUAGGUCAGGGCUGGGUCAUUCUUGAAACAUUUGCCAAGUCUUUAACUUCUCAUAGUGAACAAGGUCAAGUCUGGAUUGUUCCAGAAACGGUUAUUAAGCCAUUGAAUUCUCAACAUUCAGUUGGUCAGGUGUGGAUCGUCCCCCACACAUAAUUGCUUAAACACUGACCCCUACAUAACAUCAGAUUAAGUCUGUAUUGUUCCAGAAUCACUUGCUGAGUCAUUGACUCUUCACCAUGCAAGUCUUGAUUAUCCUAAACAUACUGUGCAAAAGGUCAAGUCUGGAUUGUCUCAGAAACAAUUGCUAAGCCACUGACUUCCUACCAUGCACCACAUCAGGUGAAUUAUCCUAAAAACAAAGAUAAGUUCUGACUCUUCACCUUGCACUAGGUCAGGUCUGGCAGGCCAAGUUUGGAUUGUCCUAGAAACGGUUGUUAAUUCACUGACUUCCCACCGUGUAGAUUGUAGAAGGUCAGGUCUGGAUUGUCCUAGAAACACUUUCUAAGUCACUGACUCCCCAGCUUGUAUCAGGGCAGGUCUGGAUCGUCUCAGAAACAUUUUUUAAGUCACUGACUCCCCAACUUGUAUCAGGGCAGGUCUGGUUCGUCUCCAAAACACCCCUAGAACAAGAAGUAGACUUUCCUUAGUACAUAACAUCAGGUGAAGUCUUGCUUAACCCCGCUUUAUUUAUUGAGUCACAGUUUCUGGACUGUGUUUGAGGUCAGUUUUGGCAUUCCCGAAUAUCACCUGUGAAGUCAUAUGUUCAGUUUGUUGGGUUUGAUUUGUUACAAAGCCUUGAAACAAGUAACAAUUCCCUUACCUUGUACUAGGACCUCGCUUGUUCCUGACCCACGUUAAACAUCAGGUGAAAUUCGACUAGUAGCUCUCAACGAAUCACAAACUCAUCAUCAGUCAGUUGCACGGGUCUGACAUGUGUUCGAUGUCCCAGAAUCGCACAGAGAACUAUCAACUACCCAGACUAUGAUUGGUUCUCUUCAGCAGACCCGUCUAGACAGGAACGACGUCCUUGUCUACGUGCGCGCGUAACGUUUGUGUCUCAGCGGAAGCAAACGACUCAUCCGUUCAACUCGAGCCCGCAGAAAGUCUCGUCUCUCAAACGGCGGGCUUGCUGAUGUGAUGCCGAAUUGUCGGCAGCUGACCACCUAUAUCUCGGACGAUUGUAAUUGCUUUACGUUCCUGGAAGGGUGGACGAUUUGGGGAGUUACAAGCACAUGACAGAUGAAUUGCAAAACCAGAUAAGUUUGAUGGAAAACAAGGAAGAAAAAGUACAUAUUGCAGUUGAAAAGAUAUAGCGGAUGUACAGAAAGAUUACAAGAACAAAAUCGAGGAAGUACACAAGGGAGUCGAUGAACUGAAAACGGAAGUACAGAAGGUUUAUAACAACAAGAUUAGAAAAGCAUAGAAAGAUACAUAAUAACAA